rnacentral:rRNA from 1 species
AUUGAACGCUGGCGGCAGGCUUAACACAUGCAAGUCGAGCGGAGAGAGGUAGCUUGCUACUGAUCUUAGCGGCGGACGGGUGAGUAAUGCUUAGGAAUCUGCCUAUUAGUGGGGGACAACAUUUCGAAAGGAAUGCUAAUACCGCAUACGUCCUACGGGAGAAAGCAGGGGAUCUUCGGACCUUGCGCUAAUAGAUGAGCCUAAGUCGGAUUAGCUAGUUGGUGCGGUAAAGGCUCACCAAGGCGACGAUCGUUAACUGGUCUGAGAGGAUGAUCAGGCACACUGGAACUGAGACACGGUCCAGACUCCUACGGGAGGCAGCAGUGGGAAAUAUUGGACAAUGGGCGAAAGCCUGAUCCAGCCAUGCCGCGUGUGUGAAGAAGGUCUUCGGAUUGUAAAGCACUUUAAGUUGGGAGGAAGGGCAGUAAGUUAAUACCUUGCUGUUUUGACGUUACCGACAGAAUAAGCACCGGCUAACUUCGUGCCAGCAGCCGCCGUAACAC